AUUCUGAUGUCACCGCUCCCUAAUGAGAAGCUAGAAAAUGCAGUUCUAGAGUGAUACACCUUUAAGUCUUGUACAAUGAAGAUGAAAUAUUCCAAACUAUGCUGCACAAGAGGAGGUGAACAGAAACAUCUGGAUGGAGAAGAUCUUUUUUAUAUUCAGCCAUGCCAAUUGACCUUCUACCCUCUCCAUAGCCAAAGGAAUCCCCAAAUUUCCACAGAAAGGCAUUUUUAUGUCUUACCUCAAAUGGCCCCAUGGAAUUAGGCUCUCAGGCCCUGUCCGUCACAGCAUUAUCUGUGUAAGGAACUUCUGCAAAGCCUUCCUGGCUCCUUGAUGGAUUGGCUUUUUGGCUUAUGCCUAUAAUCCUACCACUUUGGGAAGCUGAGGCAGGAGGAUUGCUUGAGCCCAGGAGUGCAAGACCAACUUGGGCAACAUUGUGGAACUUCAUCUCUACAAAAACAAACAAACAAACAAACAAACAAAAAUUAGCUGGGACAGGACAGUCCAGACAGCACCAACAGCCUUUGCCUGAGCUCUGCUCCAGAGCUUCUCCAGCCCCGUGAUCAGGCACUAACUAUAACAACUGAACCGAUGGAAGUAAAUCCUACCCCAGAGGGGUAUUGGCAGGAUUAAAGCAGGUAGUAGAUAGCCUCUUGCACAGUACCAUAUACAGAGUAGGAUCUCCUACACAUAGUAGGAUUCUUGACUUGAAUCAAAACAGAACCCACCUAGCACAGCAAUAAGAAAAAUAAGAUUCUGCAGACACCAAUGCUAGUCUCAGGGCUGCCACUAACUAGGUAUGUGACUUUGACCAUGCCCCUUCACCUCCUGCCCAUGAUUUUCUUGUGUGUAAAAUGAGGCACUAUUGUUUAGAUUUCUCAAGGGCUUCCAGCUGUAACAUUCUACAGUCCUACGCAUUGCUGGAAUUGCAGGGGGACAGAGGAGGGAGGGUAAACCUCACAUGUUCAUGUUUUAAAAUUUCAAAUGAAGGAAGUUGUUGUUUUCUCCUCUUCCCUUCUCCCCAGUGGUAGCAAACAAGCAAUAAAUAUGGAAAUCCUAAAAGCCAGAGAAAAUAGUGAGUGUUCUCCAUUUUGCUGACAAAGUACACAGAGGCUGCGUCACAAAAUGAAUGUGCUUAUCCCUCUGGUGUGCUGCAUGAAUUCCUCCAGGCCCGAGCAUGGCUGGACCACUCACAGGACAGCUGUCCUUUGUUCUGUCAGUACAGGGUCCCCUGCUUGUGUGCUGACCAGCACAGCACUGGGUGACCACUGCAGAGUGAAGGUGUGCGUUCCUUCGCCAGGGAGACCCGAACAGAUGGAAUCCAUGCUUAGUGCAGUGACUGGAAGGAGGUAGAAACAAUGCAGGUGAAUUGGGAGGGCGGUUCUGGGAGACAGUGGAAGAAAAGAGAAAAACAAAGGCAAGGUAGAGCAUUCCAGCUGCAGGCAGCCAAAGCCUCUCCUGCCAAGGGACAGGUAGCUGGUUUUCAAAAUUGUGCACACAUACUCAGUAAUUGCUCUGCACCAUCUUGUCUGCCUUUUAAGCACAAGUGAGGAUUGCAUCUGACUCCUAUUACCAGCAAAUGUCCCAGGAAGGACCUUAAGUAAUAAGAGCCUUUUAAAGCUGAUCUUCGGAAGCCUCUUCCCAAGAUGGCACCUGGGAGGAGGUGUGGUUGUUCUGCGGCUCUAUCAGCCUGGGACGCACAAGUUUCUUCUACCCUGUGCAGCUGCCUGUUAUGAAGAAGCUCAUCCCUGUGUACCUUUCUCUUGAAUGCCUACUAUGAGUCACUCAGCAAGAGAGGCACCCAGCUCCCUCAGGGUCUGCGGGUCCUCAGAGGCCCACUUUCCUCCAUGAAACAGUCUCUGAACAUAUUAUUCCUCACAGAUGAUCACCUUCUUAACUCCAUCCAGAUGUGUGCCUCUGUCUCACUAUUUAGCGUUGUCCUAGAAAAUACUGUGUUUCAUGCGUAUACAUCAUGUUUCCUCAAGUAGAGUCUACCUUUAUAUAAUCAAAAGUCUCAGAUUGAUGGAUGAGUAGCAGAUAGAACAAGAACCCUCCUCCUAUGGCUAUUGGGGUGCAAGUACCCAUUUGCCUACUGGAACUGCCUUAGGGAAGAUAUGGUUAAACACAGACCCCACCCUGCAAGUUAUUCUAUUGAGGAAAAGUGGAAAUAAGGUGAGUGCUACUACACAACCACCCAACCCACACCUCUGUUACAACACUGGCUUUUUGACAAGAAAGCAUUCAUUCUUUCUGGCAAAACAUUGUCCACUCUUAGCAGUUCUUCCAUGGAUAUCAGACCUAUAUGCCAGUGGCAAUACAUUAAGUCAGUAGCAUUCUAUGAGCACUCAUUCAACCACAUUUUGGGUGUGGUUUCUAUGUGUCAGUCAUUAUCCCAAGCAGUGGCCAAGGAGAAGCUACAGAAGCAGAUUCGACCAGGCCCUUUCUUUGAAUAGUCUGUGGUCCACAUGAGGGAGGCAGGUGAGAAUCAAGGCUCUGUGAUAACUGUUCCAAGGGAGAUGCACACAGAGCAUAUGGCAUGCUAAGCUCCUCUUGGGGUAAUUGCAAUGUUUGCCUUCUUUCCUUUGAAGACUUAAGUGUGAAGCCUGCGCACCUGGAAUGGGAGGGGACAGGGAUUCUCAUAAGAACCUUUAUGCCAUUUGCAUAGCAGUUAACAGACUGUCAAGAAUUUCAAAAUAGCAUCAGAUGAGGUGAUGAGCAUAGGGGUCCUUAGAAAUAUUUGCUUGUUUUAUGGUCAGAGGCCUGCAGGAAGCAGCUAAUAACUGAUCUCUUCACAUAGCCCCUAAUGUCAUUUCCAUUUCAAUCAUGGACCAGAGUAUUGUGUGACACUUCCCAUAUUAUUGAUUUGAGUUGUUAUUUAUUUCUUUUAUUGCCAAAUAACUUUACACCCUUGGCUAAAAUUUAAGAUACCAGAAGACAAGAUUGUGCCUUGUUCCCUAGCCUCCACUGGCACUAGCACAGUGCCUGACUCACAGUAGGCACUCAAUCAAUGCAUUGACUAAUUAAGUCCUUCUUCUGCUGAGGGCCCAUCGUGCUUUGGCUGUCCCAGAGAGUUAACACCUGUCCCUGGGACCACCCUAGACACAAUGGCACGCAGACGAACGAGCCUCCUUCGUCUACCUUCCCUCCGCGAGCAGCAUCAAGGACCUGAGAGGCAAACUCAAUGUGAAUUUUAAAACACCUUCAGUGGUGGUUGCAGAGCAAACCUGCCUGCAAGAAAAGGAUUUUUCCCUCUUUCUUCAGCGCCACUGGAGCGGCUCCUUCCAUUGAAAAUACAGGGAUUUGUGCCGCAUGAUUGUGCAGGGAGUGGGGGCCGAGUCCAUGCCAGUCAUCAAGGGCUCAGCAUGCUCAGAAGGGCUUUGUGCUCCAGGCACUGCAGCAGCCUGGCUUGGCCUUAGCACACCCCUCUUCCUGCAGAGGCCACAGUACAACCAUUUCAGCAAGUGACUUUUCAGUAAUGGCUCUGUGUGCCCAAAAGGGAAAUCAAUGUGAUGGUUAGAAAAGUUUCUUUUUUUCUUCCACUCCUGUGCUGUCCCCAAAAUAUCAGAAUAAGGUUUGUUAUCUGGGCAAAGGAACAAGCACAAGAUUUUCUUUUGUGUUGGGUGAGGAGCUAAAGGACUAAACAUUUUUGAACACCUAUGAUGUACCAGAGACUGUCUCACAUGCUUCCCUAUUUAAUGUUACCAGGAGAUUGUUGGUAAGGUGUUACCCCCAUCUUAAAGAGGAGGGGACCAAGAUUCAGGGAUGCUUCACAAGCGAAUAAUUAAAACUUAAUUCUAAAGUGUGUCGGGUGCGUGUGUGCGUGUGUGCAUGUGUGUGCAUGAGUGUGUGCAUGUGUGUGCAUGCGUGCGUGCAUGUGUGUCUGGUCUUAGUGUUCAUAUCCAUGAGCAUCAGGAGAGCUUCCACUUCACCCAUGUUUCAAACUCUAGAGAGGCUGCUCCCCCUGCUGAGUAGCCUGGUCGUGACCAUGGCUGGGUGAUGGCUGUUUGGAUGCUCUCAGAAAUGUCGUAAGCAGUUCACUUAUUAUUCAGGGAAACAUCCAACAAAGUGAUGGCUUCUUUCCUUGCUGUCGGUAUCUACUGCCAGCUGUUCACUUGGAUUGAAGGAUAUGAGGGACUGAAUGCUGAAUUCAUGAAUGCAGCUAACUGCCCCCCUCCAGACCCCAGAGGAGCCAUUAGGAUGAGUGUUUAUAGAGCACCACUGCCUGGAAAUGCCAAGGCCCCGUGGGGAAUGAGAGGUGAACGGAGAAAUACGCACGUCCCUGGAUCCCUCCCUGGGUGGGGAAGACUGUGUCAUGGGACAGGGGCAUUCAAAUCUAUGGGAAAAUACUGCAAAUACACUUCUAGUUCUU
rnacentral:antisense_RNA from 1 species